UACUCAUGCAAUUUAAUGUUUAAUAAGUUUAUAUUGGCAAAUAAGUAUCAUGUUAAAAUACAUCUUACACACAAACAUAUCAAACAAAACAAUAAAAGCACACAAGAAAUUGUGAGUUUUCUGCUAACAGUAAGAGAUUCAUAACUGGACAGCCACCAUGGAGCAGCCACCACAUUAUCUUUUUGCAGGUCACAUUCCUCACACCAGAAAAAUAAAUGGUGGCUACAUUACAUGCAAAUACCGUCUGUUGUAGAUUUUGAAUAAAUCAGCGCCAUGUCUUUGAUCAAUCAAGCAUAUCAGUUUUCUUGCUCACUUCCAGCCAAUCAGAGCUGCAGACGGUACUCGUUCGUUGCGUGCCAAUCUAGCUCACUCACAUGAAUGCAGGUUUGCUAGGUUACCAGGACACAAUUUCAUUCCAAUUCGCCAAGGAGGAAAGCAGGGGUGAGAGAGACCGACUUGGCGGAGGAAAAAAAAGCACAGCAGGUACAGAGGUGUGAUAUGUGAAUGUCUUCCUCCCUGGUGUGCAGAUGUGCUGCUGCUGCUGGUAUCCCAGAAAGUGGGGCACACGGCUGGAUCGCAGUCUGGAGAGUUGCAUGGCAAAGAAGGCCGUUUUGUUACCCCAGACAUGCAGUCCCGAUCAUCACACCAGUUCUGAUGAUGCCUUAACUUCCUGAUAUUCACCCCUUGGCUGGCAGCGCAGCGACAGGGACUUCCUGUGGCUGAACCGACCUCGCAUGACCAUUUUGCCCAUGAGCUGGCUGCCGGGGUCUUUACAAAGGAGGUCCUUGCAGGUUCCAUCCUGAUUGGGAAGUUGGGAAAGGGGCCUGACAGAAAGACAGCUGGACAUUGCCAAAGUACAAGCCAUAACAGAUGCUGUUCUUCAGGAGUUUCUACAGAUAAAUGCCUCUGCUGUGCGAGUCACAAGUGUAAUAAUAAGCAGUUCAGCCAAGAAAAGGAAAAUAAUAUGUAGUAUGUUUCUGUAUGGUGGGUCGUAGGGCAGUUGUACAAUAAACAGCAAUGUUGUUUUUUCAUUGUACAGUGUUCCACGGUGUUCUUAUGAAUGAGAAAUGUGUAAAGUUUGUCUUACUUGAAUGAUGUGACAACGUCCUCUUUUCAAUAGUGAAUUAUAUUUUUCACAAUAUAUUUCUAGAAAUUCUACAAUAAAACAACUGUUACACAGUUCUUAAGUGUGUUAAAAGUUAAAUUGUGAAAAUUGGAUAGGAUAAUGUUUAUAAACAAUUUUAUAUUUACAGAUCGUACAGUUCGUUGUCAGUAUAUUUGCAAUGUACUAUUGAAAAUGUAAAUAUAUUUGAAAUACAAUAAAGCAA